rnacentral:rRNA from 1 species
GCGGCCUAUCAGCUUGUUGGUGAGGUAAUGGCUCACCAAGGCGACGACGGGUAGCCGGCCUGAGAGGGCGACCGGCCACACUGGGACUGAGACACGGCCCAGACUCCUACGGGAGGCAGCAGUGGGGAAUAUUGCACAAUGGGCGAAAGCCUGAUGCAGCGACGCCGCGUGAGGGAUGACGGCCUUCGGG